rnacentral:rRNA from 1 species
UGAGCAAUCUGCCCUUCUCUUCGGAAUAAGCGUUGGAAACGACGUCUAAUGCCGAAUACGACCUCCUUUCGCAUGAUCGGAGGUGGAAAGCUCCGGCGGAGAAGGAUGAGCUCGCGGCCUAUCAGCUAGUUGGUGUGGGUAAUGGCCCACAAGGCGACGACGGGUAGCCGGCCUGAGAGGGUGACCGGCCACACGUGGGACUGAGACACGGCCCAGACCUCCUACGGUAGGNAGCG